UACGUAGGGGGCAAGCGUUGUCCGGAAUCAUUGGGCGUAAAGAGCGUGUAGGCGGCCCGAUAAGUCCGCUGUGAAAGUCCAGGGCUCAACCCUGGAAUGCCAGUGGAAACUGUCGGGCUAGAGUCCGGAAGAGGCGAGUGGAAUUCCUGGUGUAGCGGUGAAAUGCGCAGAUAUCGAGGAGGAACACCGAUGGCGAAGGCAGCACGUCUGGGACGGUACUGACGCUGAGACGCGGAAAGCGUGGGGAGCAAACAGG
rnacentral:rRNA from 1 species